UGUGCUGUAUAUGCACUUCUA
rnacentral:miRNA from 10 species